rnacentral:rRNA from 1 species
AACGAACGCUGGCGGCAGGCCUAACACAUGCAAGUCGGGCGCCCCGCAAGGGGAGCGGCAGACGGGUGAGUAACACGUGGGAACGUGCCCGAAGGUACGGAACAACUCCGGGAAACUGGAGCUAAUACCGUAUGUGACCGAGAGGUGAAAGAUUUAUCGCCUUCGGAUCGGCCCGCGUCUGAUUAGCUAGUUGGUGGGGUAAUGGCCUACCAAGGCUACGAUCAGUAGCUGGUCUGAGAGGAUGAUCAGCCACACUGGGACUGAGACACGGCCCAGACUCCUACGGGAGGCAGCAGUGGGGAAUCUUGGACAAUGGGCGCAAGCCUGAUCCAGCCAUGCCGCGUGGAUGAUGAAGGCCCUAGGGUUGUAAAAUCCUUUCGUCAGGGACGAUAAUGACGGUACCUGAAGAAGAAGCCCCGGCUAACUUCGUGCCAGCAGCCGCCGCCGUAA